rnacentral:rRNA from 1 species
UACGAAGGGUCCAAGCGUUGUUCGGAUUUAUUGGGCGUAAAGCGCGCGCAGGUGGAUCAGCAAGUCAGAUGUGAAAUCUCAGGGCUCAACCCUGAAACUGCGUCUGAAACUGCUAGUCUAGAGUGUUGGAGGGGGUAGGGGAAUUUCACGUGUAGGGGUAAAAUCCGUAGAGAUGUGAAGGAACACCGGAGGCGAAGGCGCCUACCUGGACAACUACUGACACUGAGGCGUGAAAGCGUGGGGAGCAAACAGG